rnacentral:tRNA from 1 species
GUGGAGAUAACCGAGUUGAUCUAAGGUGCCAGAUUAAGGUUUUGGUCCGAAAGGGUGUGAGUUCAAAUUCCACUCUCCACA